UACGAAGGGGGCUAGCGUUGCUCGGAAUCACUGGGCGUAAAGCGCACGUAGGCGGCUUACUAAGUCAGGGGUGAAAUCCUGGAGCUCAACUCCAGAACUGCCUUUGAUACUGGUGAGCUUGAGUCCGGAAGAGGUGAGUGGAACUGCGAGUGUAGAGGUGAAAUUCGUAGAUAUUCGCAAGAACACCAGUGGCGAAGGCGGCUCACUGGUCCGGUACUGACGCUGAGGUGCGAAAGCGUGGGGAGCAA
rnacentral:rRNA from 1 species